AGGAAGCAGAAGAGAAAUAAGAAAGGGAGGAACCAUCUGCAUGGGUGGAAACACUGACAAUGGACCCAAGUGUCAUGCAAAUCUCGCGGCUCAACACUGACAAUGAACCCAAGUGUCAUGUUUUGCAUAGGCAAUAGCUCCGAUCUGAACUUCUACAAAAAGCAACCAAACAUUCUUCAAAGAAAAGGCAACUAUAUUUGUUUUAGCAAUGCCAAAC
rnacentral:lncRNA from 1 species